UACGAAGGGGGCUAGCGUUGUUCGGAAUUACUGGGCGUAAAGCGCGCGCAGGCGGCUAUCCAAGUCAGUGGUGAAAGCCCGGAGCUUAACUCCGGAACUGCCAUUGAAACUGUUUAGCUUGAGUAUGAGAGAGGUGAGUGGAAUUCCCAGUGUAGAGGUGAAAUUCGUAGAUAUUGGGAAGAACACCGGUGGCGAAGGCGGCUCACUGGCGCAUUACUGACGCUCAGGCGCGACAGCGUGGGGAUCAAACAGG
rnacentral:rRNA from 1 species